CCGGAAUUUGAAUUUUCUGUAAUUUUCACAUUUCACUAGUCUUCUUUGGACUAAAAGAAAAAAUCAUUAAAAAAUAAAAAAAAAACAUUCUAAGCUGGUGGGACUUACAAAAACAAAUGGCAGGCUGGAUUUGGCUUAUGUCACAUAGUUUGCAGACCAUGCUAUAGAUGAUAGUUUGACCAACAGGUAAUUUGGCCUUCCAGGAUCAGUUUGUUUCCUCGAACAACCCCGGGGAAUAAAACUUUUGUCAUCUGUGGGCGCAUUAAAAAACAAAACAAAACAAAACAAAACAAAACAAAACACCCAAGCCAAGUACUGCAUAUGUUGGUUGAAACAGAACCAAAUAAUUACCAUGUGACAAAAGAAUAGGAAUAAAAGUCCCUUUCUUUAUUGUUCAACUCUGGUGUACUACCCACAGGUAACAGCUGGGGUCCCUGUCCUCUAUGGUCUGAAGACACACCAGCCCAUCCUUCUUCCUCCCCAGAUGGCUGGACUACAUCUGCUUUGAGGAUCAAGCAGGAGACAGAGAUAAGCUGCCAGUUCCCCAAAUACAGAGUUGUACACUUUACGUCUUGAGAAUCAGACCUCCCACUGGUGGGAGCGCUUGCCCUUAACUGAUACACCAAGGAAUCAAACCAGGUUAUUUUUGUUCAUGAGAUGGUGAAAUACACUGAAAGCAGUGAGGGGGGGGAAAGGCGUGAGAGAGAAAACGCCCGCUGCUUCCACUGGGAUCCUUGCUGGCUGUUCCUGAGUUUUCCAUGGAAAGCACUUAGACACUCAGAACAAAGGAGGCAUCAGCCACUGAGAGGACAAGCCAGACGGGUGAUCUCUGGACCCACGGCUUCUGGCUCACUCUCCUGGCUCUUGGAAGGAGGUAGAAUCAAGCUGGUGCUGGUUACUGUUCUGUGUUGGUUGAUGUGAGAAAGUGGAGAACCUAAUGACCAAAAUGAAAAAAAAAAACUGCUCCGUGUGUGUCUGGAAGCAUGCUCUCCAACAUCCCUGCGUUUAAUCUGACGUCUUUGGCCGGGUUCCCUAUGUGACAUGAAGUGCCGUAUUUAUUUCAGACCCUUUCCAAUUUCUGACAAUUAGUUUCUUGGCCAUUAAGCUGGGCUGCAGCAGGAAUACUUUAAUGUGCUUAUUUAUAUCUCAUUGGUUACAUAAGUCCCCUCGUAAGUAAGCGCCAUGAUCCCCAAAAGUGUCAGCGUGAAAGCUUAAAUGGACUCAUCAAUCUCUCAGCCUGUCUUCCUGGAAGGUCAGCCUUGAGGCAAAUUGCAGCUUUGUCACCACUGAUCUGAUGGCCCAUCCACCACGUUUGCCUGAUUUUUGAGCACUAGGACCUUAGAACCAAUUUGAGGGGGGAGGUGGGUGCAGGAGGGACACGUGGAGAGUCACCAGAGCCUGGUCCUUCAGAGAGCUGGGGCCCACAGCCAUGGAGCUGAGACACAGACAGGCUGGGGGCAGAUGAGUGGCAGUUGUGGGAAGAUCUUACACAGGGAGGGACAUGGUCAGGCUUCCCCGAGGAAGACCAUUUCGGCUGUAUGGCGCAAGGUGCAUGGAAGGGAGGGCAGGCGGCAGUCCUGCUGAGCGUGACUGGCUCCAAACCCCCAUGACAGCCAGCUGAGACCAGCUUCAUAAUUUCUGAGCCCACUUCAAAGUGAAAAAGAGAAGCAUCUUAUUCAAAGUUUGAGGACAAUGGAAUAUCACUCAGCCAUAUAAAGGAAUGAAAUACCGAUGCGUGCCACCACAUGGAUGGACCUCAAAAGCGUUACACUAAGUAAAAAAAAGCUAGACACAAAGGGUCACACAUUGUAUGAUUUCAUUCAUAUGAAAUAUCCAGAAGAGGUAAAUCCAUAGAGACAGAAAGUAGGUCAGUGGUUGCCUGGGGCUGGGGGCUAUGAGAUGUGAGGGGUGACUUAAUGGGAAGGGGGUUUGCAUUUGGGCUGAUGGAACCGUUUUGGAGCUAGAGAGAGGUAGUGGGGACGCACUAAAUGCUACUGAAUGGUACACUUUAAAAUAGUUAAUUUUAUGUUCUGUGAAUUUUACCUCAAUAAAAAAAUGUAUUCACUGGGAUUGGGAUGUAGA
rnacentral:lncRNA from 1 species